rnacentral:rRNA from 1 species
GUAACAAAUGUAGUCUUAUUAUAACAUAAUAAAACUUUCAACAACGGAUCUCUUGGCUCUCGCAUCGAUGAAGAACGCAGCGAAAUGCGAUAAGUAAUGUGAAUUGCAGAAUUCAGUGAAUCAUCGAAUCUUUGAACGCACCUUGCGCUCCUUGGUAUUCCGAGGAGCAUGCCUGUUUGAGUGUCAUGAAACCCUCAAACCCAAGUUUUGGAUUUCGAUCCAUGCUUGAGUUUGGAUUUGGAUGUUUGCCGGUGAUGAACCGACUCAUCUUAAAAGUAUUAGCUUGGAUCUGUCUAUAUGACUGGUUUGACUUGGCAUAAUAAGUAUUUUGCUGAGGACAUCUUCGGAUGGCCAGGACCUAGACUACUGUCUGCUAACUAAACCAUCACUUUAAGUGCAUCUUUGGAUGUUACUCAUUGUGUAACUUUGACAUCUGGCCUCAAAUCAAGUAGGACUACCCGCUGAACUUAAGCA